rnacentral:tRNA from 1 species
GGGAUUUCUAGCUUGUGACGGUACGACCCCUGCCCCCGCUAGGGGACGGGUCCUCGUUCAACCGGGGAAAUCCCC